rnacentral:rRNA from 1 species
AUUGAACGCUGGCGGCAUGCUUUACACAUGCAAGUCGAACGGUAACAGGCCUUCGGGUGCUGACGAGUGGCGAACGGGUGAGUAAUGCAUCGGAACGUACCCAGAGGUGGGGGAUAACGCAGCGAAAGCUGUGCUAAUACCGCAUGUGAUCUGAGGAUGAAAGCGGGGGACCGAGCAGCAAUGUUUGGCCUCGCGCCUUUGGAGCGGCCGAUGUCGGAUUAGCUAGUUGGUGGGGUAAAGGCCUACCAAGGCGACGAUCCGUAGCUGGUCUGAGAGGACGACCAGCCACACUGGGACUGAGACACGGCCCAGACUCCUACGGGAGGCAGCAGUGGGGAAUUUUGGACAAUGGGCGCAAGCCUGAUCCAGCAAUACCGCGUGCGGGAAGAAGGCCUUCGGGUUGUAAACCGCUUUUGGCAGGAACGAAACGGUGUCCGCUAAUACCGGGCGCUAAUGACGGUACCUGCAGAAUAAGCACCGGCUAACUACGUG